rnacentral:SRP_RNA from 1 species
GCUGGGCGUGGUGGCUCAUGCCUGUAAUCCCAGCACUUUGGGAAGCUGAGGUGGGCGGAUCACCUGAGGUCAGGAGUUCCAGACUAGCCUGGCCAACAUGGUGAAACCCUGUCUCUA